CCUACGGGAGGCAGCAGUGAGGAAUAUUGGUCAAUGGGCGCGAGCCUGAACCAGCCAAGUAGCGUGUAGGAUGACUGCCCUACGGGUUGUAAACUCCUUUUAUAAAGGAAUAAAGUGUGGCACGUGUGCCUUUUUGUAUGUACUUUAUGAACAAGGAUCGGCUAACUUCGUGCCAGCAGACGCGGUAAUACGGAGGGUCCGAGCGUUAUCCGGAUUUAUUGGGUUUAAAGGGAGCGUAGAUGGGUUGUUAAGUCAGUUGUGAAAGUUUGCGGCUCAACCGUAGAAUUGCAAUUGAUACUGGCAGCCUUGAGUACAGUUGAGGUAGGCAGAAUUCGUGGUGUAGCGGUGAAAUGCUUAGAGAUGACGAAGAACUCCGAUUGCGAAGGCAGCCUACUAAACUAACACUGACAUUGAGGCGCGAAAGUGUGGGUAGCAAACAGGAUUAGAUACCCCUGUAGUC
rnacentral:rRNA from 1 species